rnacentral:rRNA from 1 species
ACUCCUACGGGAGGCAGCAGUGAGGAAUAUUGGUCAAUGGAGGGAACUCUGAACCAGCCAUCCCGCGUGUAGGAAGACGGCCUUAUGGGUUGUAAACUACUUUUAUACAGGAAGAAACGUACCCUCGUGAGGGUGCCUGACGGUACUGUAGGAAUAAGCACCGGCUAACUCCGUGCCAGCAGCCGCGGUAAUACGGAGGGUGCGAGCGUUAAUCGGAAUUACUGGGCGUAAAGCGCAUGCAGGCGGCCUGUUAAGUCAGAUGUGAAAGCCCGGGGCUUAACCUCGGAAUUGCAUUUGAAACUGGCAGGCUAGAGUCUUGUAGAGGGGGUAGAAUUUCAGGUGUAGCGGUGAAAUGCGUAGAGAUCUGAAGGAAUACCAGUGGCGAAGGCGGCCCCCUGGACAAAGACUGACGCUCAGAUGCGAAAGCGUGGGGAGCAAACAGGAUUAGAUACCCUGGUAGACUGUC